GGGGGGGGGUGCUUAUUACAUGCAAGUCGAGCGAACAGAAAAGGAGCUUGCUCCUUUUGACGUUAGCGGCGGACGGGUGAGUAACACGUGGGCAACCUACCCUAUAGUUUGGGAUAACUCCGGGAAACCGGGGCUAAUACCGAAUAAUCUCUUUUGCUUCAUGGUGAAAGACUGAAAGACGGUUUCGGCUGUCGCUAUAGGAUGGGCCCGCGGCGCAUUAGCUAGUUGGUGAGGUAACGGCUCACCAAGGCGACGAUGCGUAGCCGACCUGAGAGGGUGAUCGGCCACACUGGGACUGAGACACGGCCCAGACUCCUACGGGAGGCAGCAGUAGGGAAUCUUCCACAAUGGGCGAAAGCCUGAUGGAGCAACGCCGCGUGAGUGAAGAAGGUUUUCGGAUCGUAAAACUCUGUUGUAAGGGAAGAACAAGUACAGUAGUAACUGGCUGUACCUUGACGGUACCUUAUUAGAAAGCCACGGCUAACUACGUGCAAAA
rnacentral:rRNA from 1 species